AUUGAACGCUGGCGGCAUGCCUUACACAUGCAAGUCGAACGGCAGCACGGGUGCUUGCACCUGGUGGCGAGUGGCGAACGGGGGAGUAAUACAUCGGAACAUGUCCUGUAGUGGGGGAUAGCCCGGCGAAAGCCGGAUUAAUACCGCAGACGAUCUACGGAUGAAAGCGGGGGACCUUCGGGCCUCGCGCUUUAGGGUUGGCCGAUGGCUGAUUAGCUAGUUGGUGGGGUAAAGGCCUACCAAGGCGACGAUCAGUAGCUGGUCUGAGAGGACGAUCAGCCACACUGGGACUGAGACACGGCCCAGACUCCUACGGGAGGCAGCAGUGGGGAAUUUUGGACAAUGGGCGAAAGCCUGAUCCAGCAAUGCCGCGUGUGUGAAGAAGGCCUUCGGGUUGUAAAGCACUUUUGUCCGGAAAGAAAUCCUUGGCCCUAAUACGGUCGGGGGAUGACGGUACCGGAAGAAUAAGCACCGGCUAACUACGUG
rnacentral:rRNA from 1 species